rnacentral:rRNA from 2 species
GGAGGGUGCAAGCGUUAAUCGGAAUUACUGGGCGUAAAGCGCACGCAGGCGGUCUGUCAAGUCGGAUGUGAAAUCCCCGGGCUCAACCUGGGAACUGCAUCCGAAACUGGCAGGCUAGAGUCUUGUAGAGGGGGGUAGAAUUCCAGGUGUAGCGGUGAAAUGCGUAGAGAUCUGGAGGAAUACCGGUGGCGAAGGCGGCCCCCUGGACAAAGACUGACGCUCAGGUGCGAAAGCGUGGGGAGCAAACAGGAUUAGAUACCCUGGUAGUCCACGCCGUAAACGAUGUCGACUUGGAGGUUGUGCCCUUGAGGCGUGGCUUCCGGAGCUAACGCGUUAAGUCGACCGCCUGGGGAGUACGGCCGCAAGGUUA